rnacentral:rRNA from 1 species
AUUGAACGCUGGCGGCAGGCCUAACACAUGCAAGUCGAGCGGAUGAAGGGAGCUUGCUCCUGGAUUCAGCGGCGGACGGGUGAGUAAUGCCUAGGAACCUCCCUGGUUGUGGGGGAUAACGUCCGGAAACGGGCGCUAAUACCGCAUACGUCCUGAGGGAGAAAGUGGGGGAUCUUCGGACCUCACGCUAUCAGAUGAGCCUAGGUCGGAUUAGCUAGUUGGUGGGGUAAAGGCCUACCAAGGCGACGAUCCGUAACUGGUCUGAGAGGAUGAUCAGUCACACUGGAACUGAGACACGGUCCAGACUCCUACGGGAGGCAGCAGUGGGGAAUAUUGGACAAUGGGCGAAAGCCUGAUCCAGCCAUGCCGCGUGUGUGAAGAAGGUCUUCGGAUUGUAAAGCACUUUAGGUUGGGAGGAAAGGCAGUAAGUUAAUACCUUGCUGUUUUGACGUUACCAACAGAAUAAGCACCGGCUAACUUCGUG